GACGAACGCUGGCGGCGUGCUUAAAACAUGCAAGUCGAACGAAGUGGCGAACGGGUGAGUAACGCGUAAUCAACCUGCCCUUCAGAGGGGGAAAACAGUGGGAAACGACUGCUAAUACCGCAUACGGAAGGAGGGGAUUGCGUGUGAUUAGCGAGUUGGAGGGGUAACUGCCCACCAAGGCGAUGAUCGGUAGCCGGACUGAGAGGAUGAACGGCCACAUUGGGACUGAGACACGGCCCAGACUUCUGCGGUAGGCAGCAGGGGGGAAUCUUCCGCAAUGGACGAAAGUCUGACGGAGCAACGCCGCGUGAGUGAUGACGGCCUUCGGGUUGGAAAGCUCUGUUAAUCGGGACGCGGUACCGGAAUAGAAAGCCACGGCUAACUACGUGCCAGCAGCCGCGGUAAUUC
rnacentral:rRNA from 1 species